CCCAGGAGGGCAGCAGAACAAAAAAGAGUGAACCGGCAGCGCCCAAAACCGCGCGGCCGGUGAGC
rfam:Escherichia hermannii NBRC 105704 DNA, contig: EH10570418.